ACAGCACAGACCUUCAAGUCUACCUUGACAGUGGAACGAUGAGCGGACGCUUCUGUAGCUUUUCUCUGGAAGAGUUUGCUUGUGCCUCGGUAAGAGCAAAAUAUUAUAAACUCCUGUUGUAAAGGGGGUUCAUGUAAUGAUUUCACUUUUCAUGUUGAACAGCUCUCAGCCUUAACAGCACAGGACCUGGUAGAGAUUAUGAAGUGUGAUCGGUCAUCAAACUCAAGUGGAUCCAUAUCAGCCUGGAACCUUCUCUUCUGUAAAACAUCCAAGAUCCUGAAUGCAGCUCUGGAUUUUCUGACCACUACAGUAUGACUUACUUUUAGUUCAAUAUUCUGCAUCCAUUGAAGUACUUUGUUAAUAAAUUGGCAUUUAACUUUUAAGGAAAAUUAACGAUUACACGUAAUAUUUAAAAAAAGAAUAAAAUUAAAUCAACUUUUGAUUUCCAUGAUUUCUUCCAAAGCUUACAAACCAUGUUCCUUUUUGUUGCAGACAAUCAACCCCAACAAUCCUUCAGUGUCAGUGAUUUUGGACAGCAUACAAGCAACCAGUCCAGAUUUUUUAAGCACCAACACGCUAAAUAAUCCCACUGAACUGCAGCUGUGGUUUAAUGUUCGCCUUCGCCCGUUCUUACCUGCUGUUUCCGCCAACUUUCUCUCAAUUCUUGCAACAAAGGAUUUGCAGUGCAGCUCCUACCAGUACAUGUAAGCAAUGCAGAAAAUAUUAAGGAUACCUAUAAAUCCAAUUUUUUUUAUGUCACAGAUUAUAUGUUUUGUAAUAAUGGUAUGCUCAUUCAUGUCUUUUAAAAUUAGCUUGCAAAUAUUGAGUGAAGUUCAAUCCCAGAUGACUCCUUCAAGGCAAGAAUCUGUGUACACACAAUUCAUCAAGAUUUACUUGAGCAGAAAUAAUACUGCAGAUCCCGGCUGCACUUCAAACAUCAAAAGCAGCACAGAGUGGCUCCAGAAAAAUGUUGGAGGAUUCUCUGUUCUCUUGUCUAUUCAAAACAUUCAAGAGCUCUACCCACAAUUCUCAGGGGUUUGUUCUAUUGCUCAUUUAAUCGUUCACUUUGUUUAUCCGUAUCUUUUCAUGUUUUGCUAUGGUUUUUCUGUGCAGGUGGAAGCCCUGUCUCUGCUGUCAGUCACACAGCUUGCAGAGGUAGCUGCUGCACCUGGCCAGCUCACAACUGCAGAGCAGGUCACCACGGUGAUGACUUAUGUCCCUGACCAACAGUUUGCAUCCUUCUUUGAUAACUUCUCACCAAAAAUUUUGGUAAGCAAACAUUUGCUGCUGCUUAAGUGUUUUAAACCUCUGCAUAUGACGUAUACAAGCCUUGUACAAUAUUUGUUGAUAUUCUCCUACAGGGUCGUGAAAACGUUCUCCCCUCCACUGUGAGAUCAGCCAUGUUGCAGGUUGUGUUUAAUCGUGCAAACCUCUCCAGUCCAUCAGUCAGUGACUCAGUUGUGUUACUGUGGCUCAAAGUUCGACUCCGCCCCCUGCUGGUAAAUUUGGUACCUGACCAUGUGACGCCAUACUUUAAUAUACUGGCAGGAAGAAGCUGCAGCACUGAGAAGCAGGGGUGAGUGUCAAGUAAAUAACAUUUUUUAAUUGAGUUUAUUUCAGUUCAAUCAAACUUUAAUCUAAAAUGUAUUGUUUUUCAGUGUAACCUUUCUCAACUCAACCAUCUCAACUUUGAGUGAUGCUACAAAGACAAAAAUCCAAGAUCAAAUUGCCUUGACCCUCAAAGGUGAACAGAAAUCUGCACAGUUUUUUUUUAUUUUAUUUAUUUUUUUAUUGAGAGCACUUAGCUUGUGAUUCUUUUUGCUACUUUUCUGUUCCUUUGGAUUAUUUUUCUACAACCU
rnacentral:lncRNA from 1 species